rnacentral:rRNA from 1 species
UACAGAGGUCUCAAGCGUUGUUCGGAUUCAUUGGGCGUAAAGAGCGUGUAGGCGGCUUGGCAAGUCCGCUGUGAAAACUUGAGGCUCAACCUCAAGCUGUCGGUGGAAACCCCUUGGCUAGAGUCCGGAAGAGGAGAGUGGAAUUCCUGGUGUAGCGGUGAAAUGCGCAGAUAUCAGGAAGAACACCAAUAGCGAAGGCAGCUCUCUGGGACGGUACUGACACUGAGACGCGAAAGCGUGGGGAGCGAACAGG